AUUUUUUCCUGCCCUGCUAUCUGGAGUGUGGAAGCCAUCAACACUGAAGGCAAUCUUCUUAUUGGAAAUCCAGAUGGCCACAACAGCAAAGGAAAGGACAGGAUGUUCCACGUAAUUUUUUGAAAAUGGCUGCACCAAUUUUUAUUCUUACCAACCAUGAAUGAGGAUUCUUUUUUCUCCAUAAUCUUUUCACUGUACUGCAAUGGAGCUUUCAUUUCCUUGGAAUCUUUUCCUCUAUCUAUAUUAUCCUAUGCAGUUUUGAUUCAUAUACCAAGUUCACCUUCAAAUGCCAUACCCUCCACAAAUAUUUGAAUCAAUUUUUUAUAUUAUUUGGCUUCAA